CUUUGAUAAUCGCAGCAGUGCACUAUUGCACUGCUGAGCUGGAAACAUGAAUGGUCCGAAAAGGGGGCGGAGCUACACGGCACUUUACUCAGUGCCAGGCCAGCCAGCACCAUCGAAGAGAGGAGGGGAGAGGAGCAGCAGCAGCACACACCGAAGCCUAAAUAAGUUACUGUGAGGAGCCCAGCUACAGAAAGAACUGAGGAGAUAUCCAUCCCUGAGCAACUACUUCCACCGUCACUGUGAGAAGCCCAGCUACAGAAGGAACUGAGGAGAAAUCCAUCCCUGAGCAUCUCCUUCUACAGUCACUGUGAGGAGCCCAGCUACAGAAAGAACUGAGGAGAUAUCCAUCCCUGAGCAACUACUUCCACCGUCACUGUGAGAAGCACAGCUACAGAAAGAACUGAGGAGAAAUCCAUCCCUGAGCAUCUCCUUCCACAGUCACUGUGAGGAGCCCAGCUACAGAAAGAACUGAGGAGAAAUCCAUCCCUGAGCAUUUCCUUCUACAGUCACUGUGAGGAGCACAGCUACAGAAAGAACUGAGGAGAAAUCCAUCCCUGAGCAUUUCCUUCUACAGUCACUGUGAGAAGCACAGCUACAGAAGGAACUGAGGAGAAAUCCAUCCCUGAGCAUCUCCUUAUACAAUCACUGUGAGGAGCACAGCUACAGAAAGAACUGAGGAGAAAUCCAUCCCUGAGCAUCUCCUUCCACAGUCACUGUGAGGAGCCCAGCUACAGAAAGAACUGAGGAGAAAUCCAUCCCUGAGCAUUUCCUUCUACAGUCACGGUGAGGAGCACAGCUACAGAAGGAACUGAGGAGAAAUCCAUCCCUGAGCAUCUCCUUAUACAGUCAUUGUGAGGAGCCCAGCUACAGAAAGAACUGAGGAGAAAUACAUCCUUGAUCGUCUCCUUCCACAGUAACUGUGAGAAGCACAGCUACAGAAGGAACUGAGGAGAAAUCCAUCCCUGAGCAUCUCCUUCCACAGUCACGGUGGGGAGCACAGCUACAGAAGGAACUGAGAAGAAAUCCAUCCCUGAGCAUUUCCUUCUACAGUCACUGUGAGGAGCACAGCUACAGAAGGAACUGAUGAGAAAUCCAUCCCUGAGCAUCUCAUUCUACAGUCACUGUGAGGAGCCCAGCUACAGAAGGAACUGAGGAGAAAUCCAUCCCUGAGCAUCUCCUUCUACAGGCACCGUGAGAAGGGACUGAGGAGAAAUCCAUCCCUGAGCAUCUCCUUCCACAGUCACUGUGAGGAGCCCAGCUACAUAAAAACGGAGAAAUCCAUCCCUGUACAUCUCCUUCCACAGUCACUGUGAGGAGCAGACGCCUCCUGCGGAAUUAUUUUCACAUGGACAAAGACGCAGCAGCGAGACAAAUAGCGCUCAUUUCUGAAUCAGGCCCAU